rnacentral:rRNA from 1 species
CCCUGAAGGGCCGGGAGAGACCAUCCCGUCAAGAGGUCACACGUGGACGUCGGGCAACCGAUUUCAAGCGAAGUGAUCCUCAUCGCCCGUGAGGCUUGAUCUU